rnacentral:lncRNA from 1 species
UCCCACUCUUUCUUCUCCUUCAGCCCUAACCAGAUUUACCAAAUGAGCUUUCCUCAGAUCUCCAAAGAAGCCACUUGGGGUUACAACAGUUGAGUGUUAAAGAAAGUAUGCAUUUAGCAAGUGGCCGAAGACAUUUGCCGAGAUGCUUGUCCUCUGACCCCCUGCAGCUUGACUGAUGUAAUGGGAGAGAUAUGUUGGCUAUAUUUAUGCAGUCAAGACUCCGAAGAGAUGGAAUUUAUCUGGACAUCACUGGAAAACAAAUUUUGUUGUGAAACCUCUGAAGAUGUGUUUUCUCGAGAGCAUCUGAAAGGAGGGUGAGUGUUGAUGAGCAAACUCCACCGGGAUGGUCACAGUGGGUGGAACCAAAAGAACAUGGCCUUGGGAGUCCAGCCAAAUUCUAGCUCUGCCAUCUACCAUGUACCACGUGGGGAUUCCUCCUCAUCUGGGAAGCAGAAUAGUGAUUGCUGCCUCAUAAGGCAACAUGUAGAGGGCUGAGCAGCACACUACUCCACGAACCGUAGGUGUCACCAAAUGUCAGUUUCUGCCUACGUCCUCCCGGCUUUUCUGGGGUUGUUCAUAAGCUCUAAAGGCUCCAACUACCAGGAAUUUAAUGAGAGUAGAUUUGCUGAUGUAAAUAUUUAGAAAUGUUCAUCUUCCUAAAACACUAAUUUCUCCAUAGCAGAUCCUACAUUGGCUAUUGCUUAUUAAUUCAAAUGUUUGUUGAGUACCUACUAUGUGUCAGUCACUAGAGAUUCAUCAGUGAGCAAGACAAAGUUCUUCUUGUCCUCAUGGAAACCAGAAGGUACACUGUGAGUGUCCAGGGAUGGGACUGCCCUGCUUCCCACUGUGGGGGUGGGUAGAGAAUGAAGGUGGAAAUGAGGGGAGCAUCUUUUGGUUGACUCAAUGAAGGAGGGGUACCACUACUAUUUAGUGGUGAAGGCCAGGGAGGCCACAUGUCCUGCAAUAUGCAGGACAAGCCUAUAUGACAAGGGACGGUCCCCCACAAAAUGCUCAGUGAGAAAACCUGGUAAGCCAGGGAAAGUCAAAAACGUCCCUGUUGGUAGAAAGGUUUUUAAUACCAUCAUUUCUCCAAGAUCAACUUUGAAGAGAUAUUUUAAUUGGAUGUGAAGGAGUCCUAUGUCCUGUUUCUUUCUGUUUUUCAGAGUUUACAGAGCCAUCCUUCUAAGGGUCUGUGAUUCCAUUGCCUUUUUGGUGGUGCUCCUAAUUCCUUCAUGACCUGGCUGAUACAACUG